UUUCGGAAAUUUCGGUAUUUCUAAAACCCGCGAACGUGUAUUUAAGCAAACCUUGGCUGUAUCAAAACCUUGCUACAAAACGAUCUCUCUCUCUCAAACUCUCGUUUAUAUCACGUCACCGGAGAACAAAGCUUUCACCGGAAUAACCGAACACCUCUCGAACACCCUCUCUGUUUCGCAAAACACACACCAUAAACCCAUUCUCUAGACCUUGUCGAUUCAGAAGGAAGAAACAUCCCUGUAUAGUCGUCGGAGUAACUUGCAAGUCUCGCCGGAUUCGCGAAACGUCGUCGGAGUGAACCAAGCUGCCGGAGUUUUACGACGGAAUCGAUACGUCAACUGUUCGGAUAACCACUUCGUUCUCUUGGAUUAUUCUCCAUCGUUACUCGUACGUUCUUACAAGAUUUCGCAACGCAACCAAUGUUGUUAGACGAAGUUAUCAAGAAAACAAGCUAGGAUGGCUUUAGAUACUCAUUUUAGCAAUUAAACAAUGUUUGAAUUUAUGUUCACUAUUUGCAACAAUGUAUUAUUCUUUAGUUUUAAUAAAAUGAUUUAAAU